GAUGAACGCUGGCGGCGUGCCUAAUACAUGCAAGUCGAGCGAACAGACGAGGAGCUUGCUCCUCUGACGUUAGCGGCGGACGGGUGAGUAACACGUGGAUAACCCACCUAUAAGACUGGGAUAACUUCGGGAAACCGGAGCUAAUACCAGAUAACAUGUUGAACCGCAUGGUUCAACAGUGAAAGACGGUCUUGCUGUCACUUAUAGAUGGAUCCGCGCCGCAUUAGCUAGUUGGUAAGGUAACGGCUUACCAAGGCAACGAUGCGUAGCCGACCUGAGAGGGUGAUCGGCCACACUGGAACUGAGACACGGUCCAGACUCCUACGGGAGGCAGCAGUAGGGAAUCUUCCGCAAUGGGCGAAAGCCUGACGGAGCAACGCCGCGUGAGUGAUGAAGGUCUUCGGAUCGUAAAACUCUGUUAUUAGGGAAGAACAAAUGUGUAAGUAACUAUGCACGUCUUGACGGUACCUAAUCAGAAAGCCACGGCUAACUACGUGCCAGCCGCCGCCGUAA
rnacentral:rRNA from 1 species